CUCCGUGCCAGCAGCCGCGGUAAUACGGAGGGUGCGAGCGUUAAUCGGAAUUACUGGGCGUAAAGCGCAUGCAGGUGGUUUGUUUAAGUUCAGAUGUGAAAGCCCGGGGCGUCAACCUCGGAAUAGCAUUUGAAACUGGCAGACUAGAGUACUGUAGAGGGGGGUAGGAAGUUUCAGGUGUAGCGGUGAAAUGCGUAGAGAUCUGAAGGAAUACCGGUGGCGAAGGCGGCCCCCUCGGACAGAUACUGACACUCAGAUGCGAAAGCGUGGGGAGCAAACAGGAUUAGAUACCCCUGGUAG
rnacentral:rRNA from 1 species